rnacentral:rRNA from 1 species
GACAGAGGCCUCAAGCGUUUAGGCGGAAUCACUGGGCUUAAAGCGUGUGUAGGCGGGUCGUUAAGUACCUUGUGAAAUCCCACGGCUCACCCGUGGAACUGCUGGGUAUACUGGCGAUCUUGGGCCAACUAGGGGCAACUGGAACAAGCGGUGGAGCGGUGAAAUGCGUAGAUAUCGCUUGGAACGCCAAAGGUGAAAACAGGUUGUUGGGGUUGUGCCGACGCUGAGACACGAAAGCGUGGGGAGCAAACAGG